CCUGCAAUCUGGAUGCGUGAAUCAUCAAAGAUGCCAUGGAACUCAAAAUAUUCUUCGGCUUGAUAAAUCCAGCCUUCCGGAUCUAUCCCAGUGAAUUUUGGCAGGUCCAAUUUGAUUGCUCGUGUUGCUCUGUUUGUUGCUGCAUCUGGAUCAACUUGGUUCUGAUAUCCCCCUAAUGUAGCUUGUAUGUUUCUAAUCAUCCCGGCCAUUUCUGCAACCUGCCCGGCUAAGCUUGCUAUUGAUGCAUCCUGUCGUCGUGUAACCUCCGUGAAUUUUGAUGUUUGGUCAGUCAAUACCAUGCCGAAUUCCGUCGAACCCAUUGUUCGAUUCCUCCCCUUCUGUCAUGUUUACAAUUGAAAUUAAUAUCAAAAAAAGAAAAUUCAGUCACUAGUACGAUGUGCUUUCCUUUAGCGGAUCCAGUUAAGGCCUGGAACGAGCCUUGGAGAGUGAAAGUUUAUAGUCGUUUUCCGACUGUGCAUAUCUGCUCUUUGAGAAGCUGACCAUCUAAUUCAUUGAAAGCACCAAUGUAACAUUUUGCCAACGUUAGAGGCGUAGGAAGGAGAAGAAAUCUCCCUAAGGAGCCGGUG
rnacentral:lncRNA from 1 species